rnacentral:rRNA from 1 species
GAUGAACGCUGGCGGCGUGCCUAAUACAUGCAAGUCGAGCGAACAGACGAGGAGCUUGCUCCUCUGACGUUAGCGGCGGACGGGUGAGUAACACGUGGAUAACCUACCUAUAAGACUGGGAUAACUUCGGGAAACCGGAGCUAAUACCGGAUAAUAUAUUGAACCGCAUGGUUCAAUAGUGAAAGACGGUUUUGCUGUCACUUAUAGAUGGAUCCGCGCCGCAUUAGCUAGUUGGUAAGGUAACGGCUUACCAAGGCGACGAUGCGUAGCCGACCUGAGAGGGUGAUCGGCCACACUGGACCUGAGACACGGUCCAGCCCCCUACGGGAGGCAGCAGUAGGGAAUCUUCCGCAAUGGGCGAAAGCCUGACGGAGCAACGCCGCGGGAGUGAUGAAGGUCUUCGGUUCGUAAAACUCUGUUAUUGGGGAAGAACAAAUGUGUAAGUAACUAUGCACGUCUUGACGGUACCUAAUCAGAAAGCCACGGCUAACUACGG